AAAGUUUCUAGCACAUAUAUGGCCCACUGCUAAAGUUAAUCUCUUUUCCCUAGCAAGGUGCAGAAAACUGUAAAGGUCUCAUGCUGUGAUGGAUAAUGGAUCAUGGGGAAAAUGAUAUUUUCUUUCCUCUGUCUGGUGUCAUGUUUUUUGCAAAUAAGGAGUUGCAUAAACCCAGAUACAUGGCAGAUUGAAAACAUACAGUGCAAUUUCAAAGAGAAUCUGAAUUGUAUAUUUUAACACAAAAUUACAGAGCUUCAAGCUAGGGGAACCAAACUAGCAUGCAGAAUGAUGACUGGAAGUAUCUGGUAAAGAAGUACAAUUAAAGAUUAGAAAAUACAAGAAUCUGACUAUGGCUUGGAAUUUUAAGUUAAAAUAGUAGACAAUAAGAAUGGCAUAUUGU
rnacentral:lncRNA from 1 species